GAUUCGAGGAGGUAGUGACAAGAAAUACCGAUGCGGGACCCUACGGGUGCCGCGUUCGGAAUGAGUACGAUUCGAACCACCUAACGAGGAACGAUCGGAGGGCAAGUCUGGUGCCAGCAGCCGCGGUAAUUCCAGCUCCAAUAGCGUACGUUAAAGUUGCUGCAGUUAAAAAGCUCGUAGUUGAACGUUCGGGUUCCGCGGGACGGGGCCGCCCCGCGAGGGACGGCGCCGCCCCGGGGCUCGUGAUAUCUCAUCUCGCCGCCCGUCGCGAGGCGGACGGAGGGAUGGAUGAGGUUACCUGGAAAAAAUCGGGGCGAUCUAGGCGGGCGAACCUCGCCAACGAACGAUCGGACAUGGGAUAACGGAAGAGGGCGUCGGCUCGACUUCGUCGGUUCCUCGGGCCGAGGCACGUACGGUGAAUAGGGACGGUCGGGGCCGCCCGUACCGGGUCGUGAGAGGUGAAAUUCUAGGAUCGACCCGAGACGAACCGCCGCGAAAGCAUUCGGCAAGGACGCUUUCAUUAAUCAAGAACGAAAGUCGGGGGAUCGAAGACGAUCAGAUACCGUCGUAGUCCCGACCGUAAACGAUGCCGACCGAGGGCCCGGAGGAGUUACGUACGACCCUCCGGGCCCUCCCGCGAGAAAUCAGGAGUAUUCGGGUUCCGGGGGGAGUAUGGUCGCAAGGCCGAAACUUAAAGGAAUUGACGGAAGGGCACCACCAGGAGUGGAAUCUGCGG
rnacentral:rRNA from 1 species